AUUGAACGCUGGCGGCAGGCCUAACACAUGCAAGUCGAGCGGCAGCACGGGUACUUGUACCUGGUGGCGAGCGGCGGACGGGUGAGUAAUGCCUAGGAAUCUGCCUAGUAGUGGGGGAUAACGUCCGGAAACGGGCGCUAAUACCGCAUACGUCCUACGGGAGAAAGUGGGGGAGCUUCGGACGUCACGACAUUAGCUGAGCACAGGUCGGAUUAGCUAGUUGGUGAGGUAAUGGCUCACCAAGGCGACGAUCCGUAACUGGUCUGAGAGGAUGAUCAGUCACACUGGAACUGAGACACGGUCCAGACUCCUACGGGAGGCAGCAGUGGGGAAUAUUGGACAAUGGGCGAAAGCCUGAUCCAGCCAUGCCGCGUGUGUGAAGAAGGUCUUCGGAUUGUAAAGCACUUUAAGUUGGGAGGAAGGGUACUUACCUAAUACGUGAGUAUUUUGACGUUACCGACAGAAUAAGCACCGGCUAACUCUGUGCCAGCAGCCGCCGUAAAAC
rnacentral:rRNA from 1 species